AGAGUUUGAUCCUGGCUCAGGAUGAACGCUAGCGGCAGGCUUAACACAUGCAAGUCGAGGGGUAACGGGGAAGCUUGCUUCCGCCGACGACCGGCGCACGGGUGCGUAACGCGUAUACAAUCUACCUUAUACUGGGGUAUAGCCUUUAGAAAUGAAGAUUAACCCCCCAUAGUCUCUUAGAGUGGCAUCACUUCUAGAGUAAAGGUUACGGUAUAAGAUGAGUAUGCGUUCUAUUAGUUUGUUGGUGUGGUAACGGCACACCAAGACUACGAUAGAUAGGGGCCCUGAGGGGGAUCCCCCACACUGGUACUGAGACACGGACCAGACUCCUACGGGAGGCAGCAGUGAGGAAUAUUGGACAAUGGAGGCAACUCUGAUCCAGCCAUGCCGCGUGCAGGAAGACUGCCCUAUGGGUUGUAAACUGCUUUUAUACAGGAAGAAACACCUCUACGUGUAGAGGCUUGACGGUACUGUAAGAAUAAGGAUCGGCUAACUCCGUGCCAGCGGCCGCGGUAAUACGGAGGAUCCAAGCGUUAUCCGGAAUCAUAGGGUUUAAAGGGUCCGUAGGUGGAUAAUUAAGUCAGAGGUGAAAUCUUGCAGCUCAACUGUAAAAUUGCCUUUGAAACUGGUUAUCUUGAGUUAUUAUGAAGUAGUUAGAAUAUGUAGUGUAGCGGUGAAAUGCAUAGAUAUUACAUAGAAUACCAAUUGCGAAGGCAGAUUACUAAUAAUCAACUGACACUGAUGGACGAAAGCGUGGGUAGCGAACAGGAUUAGAUACCCUGGUAGUCCACGCCGUAAACGAUGGUUACUAGCUGUUUGGACUUCGGUCUGAGUGGCUAAGCGAAAGUGAUAAGUAACCCACCUGGGGAGUACG
rnacentral:rRNA from 1 species